AACGAACGCUGGCGGCAGGCUUAACACAUGCAAGUCGAACGCCCCGCAAGGGGAGUGGCAGACGGGUGAGUAACGCGUGGGAACGUACCUUUCAGUUCGGAAUAACUCAGGGAAACUUGUGCUAAUACCGGAUACGCCCGCAAGGGGAAAGAUUUAUCGCUGAAAGAUCGGCCCGCGUUGGAUUAGCUAGUUGGUGGGGUAAAGGCCUACCAAGGCGACGAUCCAUAGCUGGUCUGAGAGGAUGAUCAGCCACACUGGGACUGAGACACGGCCCAGACUCCUACGGGAGGCAGCAGUGGGGAAUAUUGGACAAUGGGCGCAAGCCUGAUCCAGCCAUGCCGCGUGUGUGAUGAAGGCCUUAGGGUUGUAAAGCACUUUCACCGAUGAAGAUAAUGACGGUAGUCGGAGAAGAAGCCCCGGCUAACUUCGUGCCAGCAGCCGCGGUAAAGUCUGUACU
rnacentral:rRNA from 1 species